rnacentral:rRNA from 1 species
CCUCUCCUACGGGGGGCAGCAGUAGGGAAUCUUCGGCAAUGGACGAAAGUCUGACCGAGCAACGCCGCGUGAGUGAAGAAGGUUUUCGGAUCGUAAAACUCUGUUGGUAGAGAAGAACGUUGGUGAGAGUGGAAAGCUCAUCAAGUGACGGUAACUACACAGAAAGGGACGGCUAACUACGUGCCAGCAGCCGCGGUAAUACGUAGGUCCCGAGCGUUGUCCGGAUUUCUUGGGCGUAACGCGAGCGCAGUCGGUUUAUUAAGUCUGGAGUAAAAGGCAGUGGCUCAACCAUUGUAUGCAUUGGA